rnacentral:rRNA from 1 species
CGGGUACAACGAGUCGCAAGCUCGCGAGAGUAAGCUAAUCUCUUAAAGCCGUUCUCAGUUCGGACUGUAGGCUGCAACUCGCCUACACGAAGUCGGAAUCGCUAGUAAUCGCGGAUCAGCAUGCCGCGGUGAAUACGUUCCCGGGCCUUGUACACACCGCCCGUCACACCAUGGGACGUUUGUAACGCCCAAAGUCGGUGGCCUAACCUUUAUGGAGGGAGCCGCCUAAGGCGGGACAGAUGACUGGGGUGAAGUCGUAACAAGGUACC